GCGUCUGUAGCUCAGCAGGAUAGAGCAACGGACUUCUAAUCCGUAGGCCGCAGGUUCGAAUCCUGCCAGACGCGCCA
rnacentral:tRNA from 2 species